UAUAAAUUGAUUAUGCACUAUACAAUGCACUUUCUGUCAAGAUAUUUUGAUGUACUCUUUAUGCAUGAAUAAACGCUUUUCUUAUGUACAAAACCUUGGUGUGCCUUUGCAGUACAUUGAUAGGCACAUUUUGCUCCAUUUGGUUCAUUUAAUGCUUUUGUUUUGGUGGACAAAAUUCUGAUGAGUUGAACCACCGUAUGCACAAAAUACUGAGAGAAAGAGUAACCAACGAGAAAAUGUUACUGCUCCUUUGGUU